CUCUAAAGACACAAACAACAUGGCCGACUUGUGAUCAGUUGUUAUGUUAGUAAUAAUUUACGUUACAAAAUUGAAAAUAAUAAUAUAAUUGACUAAUAACGUUGUGUUUACCUUGCACAUAGGUGAUAAAUAAAGAGUAGUGUUGUAAUUCCUGAUGAAAUUGCGUGAUGCCUCGUCGAGGAAAUGAGUUAGUGCAGUUGCCUUUACCACCGAAAAAAAAAGUUAAGGCUGUGGAAGAGACCCCUAGUUUGGAUGUAAGUUUUUGCGAUGAUGAAGCCCUGCCUCCUGGGAUAGUUUUUACUGAUGUGUUGCAGAAGAAAUGGCGAAUUGGCAAACCCAUAGGUCGCGGCAGCUUCGGACGCAUAUACUUGGCGUCGGAUGAUGUAGACAACGAAGUGACGAAACUAAACGCCCGUUAUGUUGUUAAAAUAGAACCGCAUACUAACGGGCCACUGUUUGUGGAAGUACACUGUUUGGUCAGAACCGCACAGGUGCAGCAAGUUAAAGAAUGGCGUCUACUAAACAAGCAAAAACGUCUCGGCAUGCCGAUAUACAUCGCAAGUGGUUCAUUCACAGAUGAAAACACAGGAAUCAAAUACAGAUUCCUAGUCUUACCACGCUACGACAUCGACUUGCAGAAAAUCAUCGCCAGAACACGAGUACUAGAUCUAAAAAUGUUCUAGUAUUAGCCAUUCAGAUUCUCGACGUUCUAGAAUACCUACAUAGUCAGGGCUACACACAUUCGGACAUAAAGAGCUCAAAUCUGAUGCUAGGUUUUGACGGUUCUAGAAAUAGUAAAGUGGCGGUCUUGAGACACACACCAUCAUUCCAAAAAGAAACAAAAGAAGUGGCUGUCCUAUCAGGAAAACACCGAAGAGCCAAACCCAGCAAAACUAGAUCUUCAAAUUACUAUGAUGAUGAAGAUUUUGUUGUGAAGGAUUAUAAGAACUCUCCGGAUGAUGAAGAUAGUGACAAAAAAUUAGCAAACGUUAAGAACAAGCUGCGUAAAAUACUAUCAGAUAGAGACAGUAGAACGUUACAUAGACAUCACGCGUUCAAUUUGCGACAGAUAUCAAAUUACGUUAACUACGAGGAUUUUAACAGUUCCGUAUGCUCUGAUCAGUCGUAUCAAAAACUUUUGGACGAUUUUGGCAAUAAAACCUCAUUAGAACAACAAAAGAGUUUCAAGAGACAAAACGUAAUGGCAAAAUAAGAAACGAAUCGGAAAUCAAUUUGGACGAGUUGAAUAAAGAAGCUAUAAUGUCACAAUCGAAUGGACAAAUAUAUCUACUAGAUUAUGGAUUGGCGUCGAAGUUUCUAGAUGCUGACGGGACACAUAAAGACUUUGCUAUGGACCUUCGUAAAGCCCAUGAUGGGACUUUGGAGUACAGCUCCAGAGAUUCCCAUAUUGGGGCGCAUUCCAGGCGUUCAGAUUUUGAAGUGUUGGGCUAUAACUUACUAGACUGGUUGACAGGAACUUUGCCUUGGAAAACCUCGGAAGUUCUAGCCGAACCUGAUUUAGUACACGCUUUAAAAAAGAACUUUAUGAGUGAUAUAAAGUUACUCCUGAAAACUUGCUUCAAAACGGAAUUCUAUCCCCAGUUUAUGGAGAAAUACUUUCAAUAUAUCACAAGCCUUGAUUUCGCCGAAAAGCCCGAUUAUGAUUACUGCAGAAGUCUUUUCAAAAGUGAGUUAUUAAAAAAUGGACAUAUUGAAAAGGAUUUGUUAUUGAACUUUGCGGAACCGCUGAUGUCUCCAAUGAGCCGAAAACUGAGCUAUUCAAAAAGAUUUGGACGUAAGAAUACACCUCCAAACUUUUUAGCUAGGAAUGGUAUAAAGAAGACAUAUGAAAGAGAAAAUCUCUGUUCGUUAGAGAAUGAUUUAAAACUGGAAUUGCUUAAACAGACUCUGAAUUCGUCUAGUGAUGGCAUCCGAAAGCCUUGCGCGUCACGUAACUUCUUCAUAUCUGAUGCAGAUUUAGUUGCAAGGCUCAAAAAGUCGUUAAUGCCGCACGACAUUUUCGGCAAGAAACUAUCGCCUAAAAACUUAAGAUCGAAAAAGACCAUACAAAAACGUAGAGGAGUGCGACACAGGAAUAGUAUCGGGAAAUUUGGUAACUUAAUGGGCUCCGCAAAGCAGUUCUCGUGGGCAGAGAUACUAGCUGGUAAUCCAGAGGAUAUCAUUCGCGCGAAGGAAAAAGCUAAUCCGCCAGCCGAGGAAUUUGAUGAUGACAGCACAUGCAAGUACAGGAUCAGAAAACUGUCCGAUGCGUCAUCAGAUAGCAAUGAUUCUUCGCAAUCGCCGCUCAUGCAGAAAGAUUACUUACAAAACCUAAACCCUACAUACGCAAUGAAGGAAGUCUUGGCAACAUUCAAGAAAAAAUAUCGAGCACACAAAAGACACAAAAGAAAAUGAACAAAGUAAUCCAGAAUUAGAAGGGUACACACCAGCAAUGAUAAGGGUAUAUAGGUUGAAAGAAAAAAGGGAGGCAAAGGAAAAACUGGAGGCAGCCAAACAACUUGUUACUAAGAAGGAAAUACUAACCCAACCUAGGUGCACGAGGUCUAUGCGAAGUAAGGCUGCUAAUAUCCUACCAACAGCUAGGGUCACAAGACAAACACAUAGUCUAGAGGAAAAUACAGAAGUGAUAACUAAAAACAAAAGACGAAGGGUCAAAAAAUAAAGAAGUAAUUCCUAAGAGUAAUGAGAAAUCGAAAUCUAAAAAUAAGAAAAGUGUUACUAUUAAGAAGCAAGAGAAACAAGUUAAAAUCGUUGAAAAUGUCAUACCUCCAACUAAAACAAAAACAUCGAGAAGAACAUCGCUAACGGUCCCAACCAACAGGAGGAGGCUGAGAAGCAGUCGCCGCACCAAGCAGUAACUUGAACAUUAUACUGUAUUUGUUCAUAUUGAAACUGUGUGUUGAUUGUAAAAUCAUUUAGCUUAAGUUAGAGUACCGCCUCAAACAUUUUUUUUAUUGUACUUUGAUAUUAUUUCUUAAUGUAGUCGAGGUCAGACCGAUUUUAGCAACACCUUCAUAUCGUACGAAAAUUCUGUGUAUUAGAAAUUAUUUGGUCCUUCAAACCAGAUUUGCACUAAAUAUUUGUGUGAUACCUUUAUUGAUUGAUUAUUUCUGUAUAAAUGAUUGGCAUUAAUGGCCUUAAAAUAUUUGUUUUAGAUGUGAAUGUGUAGUAAACAAUAUGCUAAUAUAACUGGCCUAAGGUAACCCUCAUCACUGAUAACACGCAAUAAUGCAAAAUAAUUCUAUUCUAACUGGUAAAGUUACUUACCAAGCUUAGUCAAGGAUUUGAUUCGUUAUCGAAGAUGCGCGUAGACGAUGCAUGGACGUUGCGCUCAUUUCGCAAACUCAAAGCUUGACAAACAUCGAUUUGCUUGACACGUCUGCCUGAUCCUGACCUUAUUGACCGAGUAAUCAACUAACUCACUUUAUGCUUCCUGUGAGGUUUUAGUUUCUGAAAACAAGAACUGCGAAGAAUUAUAUCAAACCGCCUUGACACGUUGUAAAGGUAAUACCGUCAGUGCUGGGGACAUUUACCUUAAAUUUUUCGGUGUGAUAUUACCCACCAUUAUUUUCGAUUGUGCGAAGCAACUAAAUCUGUGAUUUGUGUUGAUGAGUGAAUUGAGCUUUUUUAUUAAAAGCGGUGGCAUUGAUUUUGCAUAAUUUAUAUUAUUUUUAUAUACAAUUAGUGUGUAAUAAAUUACUGUAGCUACGGCCUUACGUUUGAGAUAAGCCGUAUUUUCGCCCCUAAAAAUGGCGUACAAUGAAAACAAACUUCUUGGACUAGAGUGUUUUCUUUGCCUUUUUCUUAACCCGUAGUUAUAGUACUUAUUGUUUCCUAUUUCAUGGCGAUAAAAUCCGCCGUCUACUUUAUUGCGCUUACACUUUAAACAUACAAAUUUAAAUCGAUCAUCAAAAUUUUAGACCAUAGGCCUGACUUAAAUAUUAAUGUUAAAUGCCGAUUCAUUUCAGUCAGGGUUUCGUCACAAUAAAGCAAUUUACGCAAUAUGAUUUUCGUCGCGUAACUGUUAGUAAAUUGACGGAUUUUUGGUCAAUGUGCGAUAUUUGUGUGGAAUUGAGUCGUAAAUUACGUUGUGAACAGUCCUGAAUGCUGAAUUAGUGUUGACUGACGGCUAUUUAACUUUCCUUUGCAUUUAGUAAACAUUUUCGCUGAACUAAAAUCAGUAAAUCGUAUUUCCAUAUUUCGACUGUUUCUAUGUAAGACUAGGAUAAUAAAUGAAUUGUUUUUUA
rnacentral:sRNA from 1 species